UAGGUAGGCGUCGGCGACCCCAUCGCCCUGGAAUGCGGUCAUGAGAUCGCGGCGGGUAUGUGCGGCAUGCGCGGUGCCGGAGAUCUGGUU
rnacentral:ncRNA from 1 species